rnacentral:piRNA from 1 species
UGAUACUGUGGCGUUGGUUUGCUUUGCCAG